AAUUGAACAGGAAUAAUGACUUGUUACAGUAUCACUGAUCUAACCCCAGGGUAGAAUUGAUCAGGAAUAAUGACUUGUUACAGUAUCACUGAUCUAACCCCAGGGUAGAAUUGAACAGGAAUAAUGACUUGUUACAGUAUCACUGAUCUAACCCCAGGGUAGAAUUGAACAGGAGAAUAAUGACUUGUUACAGUAUCACUGAUCUAACCCCAGGGUAGAAUUGAUCAGGGGAAUAAUGACUUGUUACAGUAUCACUGAUCUAACCCCAGGGUAGAAUUGAACAGGAGAAUAAUGACUUGUUACAGUAUCACUGAUCUAACCCCAGGUAGAAUUGAACAGGG